rnacentral:rRNA from 1 species
AAUAGAUACCCGGGUAGUCCACGCCGUAAACGAUGAGUGCUAAGUGUUAGAGGGUUUCCGCCCCUUUAGUGCUGCAGCUAACGCAUUAAGCACUCCGCCUGGGGAGUACGGCCGCAAGGCUGAAACUCAAAGGAAUUGACGGGGGGCCCGCACAAGCGGUGGAGCAUGUGGUUUAAUUCGAAGCAACGCGAAGAACCUUACCAGGUCUUGACAUCCUCUGACCUCCCUGGAGACAGGGCCUUCCCCCUUCGGGGGACAGAGUGACAGGUGGUGCAUGGUUGUCGUCAGCUCGUGUCGUGAGAUGUUGGGUUAAGUCCCGCAACGAGCGCAACCCUUGACCUUAGUUGCCAGCAUUGAGUUGGGCACUCUAAGGUGACUGCCGGUGACAAACCGGAGGAAGGUGGGGGAUGACGUCAAAUCAUCAUGGCCCCCUUAUGACCUGGGCUACACACGUGCUACAAUGGAUGGUACAAAGGGCUGCGAGACCGCGAGGUUAAGCCAAUCCCAGAAAACCCAUUCCCCAGUUCGGAUUGCAGGCUGCAACCCCG